GGAAAGGAUCGUGGUUCAGUAGCAGAGCAUAUACUUUGCAUGCAAAAGGUCCCAGGUUCAAUCCCUGGCAUUUCCA